AUGUGCCUCGGCGAUCUUUGCUUCAUGUCUCCGCAUCUCGAAUCGAUCUAUUGCUAUUUUUAGCAACCGAAAUAACACAGCAAAUAUACAAUUCUUCGUGCUGUGUAUAAGAGAACUUGGAAAAAAAAAAGAUUGGGAGAGCUGAGCUGGUUGGUAGAAGAAUGGAGGACGUCAACAACAAGAGCCUGCAGCCUCCACCAGGCUACCCGACGGUGGAUUCGGAGCAGCAAGGCAAGGCGCUGCCGCCGUACCGCGGAACAGCAAGAGUGCGGGGACGAAAGACUAGUUUCAUCGAUGGAUGUAUUGCCACCUUGUGCUGCUGCUGGCUCUGUGACCUCUGCUGUGAUUAGAGCAGGGCAAAGCUCAAGCAUGAAUACAGUUCGCGAGCGCCUUCGUCUAUAUAUGUACUAGUAAAUGGAUACGUAUAUGUUGAGCAGUUAAAAGCAGAGAUCAUCUAGCAACAAAGCAAGUGUAAAAUUUUCAUAUUUUACAUUCACUACUACAUAAA